UUGGCCGGGUCACCGGACACAUUUUUUAAAACAAGAUACCCCAAUGAUGAUUUUGGCCAAGUUUGGUGUAAUUUGGCCAAGUAGUUUCAGAGGAGAAGAUGUAAAAGAUUACUAAGAUUUACGAAAAAUGGUUAAAAAUUGACUAUUAAGGGCAAUAACUCCUAAAGGGGUCAACUGACCAUUUCGGUCAUGUUGACUUAUUUGUAAAUCUUUUUUUGCUGAACAUUAUUGCUGUUUACAGUUUAUCUCUAUCUAUAAUAAUAUUCAAGAUAAUAACCAAAAACAGCAAAAUUUCAUUAAAAUUACUUAUUCUGGG
rnacentral:lncRNA from 1 species